UAUCUGUAAUAUAGGUUUACUUGAUUAUUUUUUAAAAUUGCAUGAUAGUAUAGCUAUACCAUAAUUUAAUCAACAAUUUCAUACAUGUUCAUUAUUAUGUAUAUCACUACAUAGUUUUACAAGUAUUUCUGUAGGAUAGAUUUUAAAAAGUGGAAUUGCUGCGUCAAAAGGUAUGUACAUUUUGAAUUGAGAUAGAAAUUGCCACCCUUGAAAGGAACUGCACCAUUAACCAUAUAUUAGCAUGUCAAUUUCCCUAACAUUGGAUUCUAACAAUUUAUAUUAUGCUUUUCAGUCUGAAAGGGGAAUUGUUAUCUUGGUGUUAUUUUACUUUACCUUCUCCUGAUCCGUGAUGUUGAGCAUGUUUUCAUAUGUUUAUUAGCCAUUCCAUUUGCUUUUUUUAUGUGAAAAAUACACAAAAGGAUUGUAGAAAUGGAAAAGCAAAAUAACAUUCAGAUAUGUAAGAGAAAGAAAAUGAGAAAUUAAAAAAUGAAAAAAGAAAAGGAAAGAAGGUAGACAGCAAGAAAAAAAUAAAGGAAAGAAAUGGAGGCCUAAUUAUUACUUAUCUCUUUGUUUGCUAUUGGAUGAGCUAUGAGAUUGUGGAGAGUGGUUGGAGUGAGGGUUAAAUAAUUUACAAAAACUAACAGUUAUGCUUUUGCUUGUAUAAGUUAUACAUUAACAAAAUAUUAAAGGUAGUUCUUGGAAGGUAUUUUAGAAAUCAAUGUUUAAUGUCUGGUUUUGUUACCUAUAUAUUAAAAGACUUGAAAAACUUGCAAAUGCUCAAGAAGCCAUGAUAGUUAAAAUGGAGAAGGUUAACAAGAAGCCUCAUGAAGAGUUCUUUCCCUUGGAGCAGCCCAAUGUACUUCACAGAGAGGCUAUACUUUGCGGGCUGCUACAGCAGUCAUAGCAGACCCAGUAAGAGGUUGACCACAGCCAUGUGUAUCCUGUUCUAUUAAUAAAGGAAAUGUCAACUAGGACACUGGGGAUUAGACACAACUAAUUUUCUAGAAUGCCGUUGAGUUGAUCUUUAUCUGUAAAGCCAACACAGACAUAUGAAUAGUUAAAAUGAGCUGUUUGCCUCUCAGAUUUCAGUGGGAUAAAGCCUGGUUUUUUAUUUCACACCCACAGAAUAGCAGCUCUGAAUGGCAAGAAGUCUUUAAAAAUCAUAUUUGUUAAAGCUGUUAUUUUCAAAUACAACUCAAAUUAUUAGAGUUCCUGGAGUAUAUACAUUUUUAAUUAAAAAGCAAUUUAACUUUUGUUUAGCUAGACUCUGAGCUCCACAUUCCAUCACUUCCCUCCUCAAGAAGUCUGAUACUGUGCUCUCAGAGUUGCAAGUUCACAGUGGUUGGACCAAGUUGGCAUGUCCCCAAAGCACACUGGCCUUCUUGAAACUAUUUAUGAUCAAAUCAGUUUUGUCAUUCUGACAGUAGGAACGACAAGCCAAACACAGCUCAGCACUGUAGAUUCUUUGUGGUGACCCUUCUAACUUCAAGAGCUGUUGUUUUACACUGAAUGUCCUAAGUGGUUGGUCUACUAUGAAAAUUGAGUCCUUCAAGCCAAAUGACUAUUACUAAAAUUGGGAAAGUUGGCUACCACACAUGUGCAGAUGCUAUUCUAAAAAUGUCACAUGUAUUAAAUGGUGGGAUCAUGAAACCAGAGUCAGAAUUUGACUAAAAUUUAUCAAAAUUCCAAAAAAUACCAGACUUACUUCUAUUAACGCUGUGAAACUGAGGUUAACUUUUCUGUGAUAAUUAAGAGUUAUUUACUGCUUUGUGCAUGCACAGUUUAUACUAUUUGUGGGCAUAUUAGUACCUAGACAUAUAAUUUAGCUUCUGAUUUCCUAAUCAUCUCAUUUUAAGGGUGGUCGAGGUAGAGCUGCAGUGUUAAACUUCUCAUAUAUAGUAGCUUCAUUUCAAGUGUGAGGAAACAUGUGAAUUAUAUGUAAAAAGUACACAUUUGAAGCAUCAAGAUAACAUAAGAAAAGUUUGAUAGCAGUGGCUUUCAAAAUUUAUCCCUAAAUAUCACAACUGUCUUCUCACUAUAUAGACUACACAGCAUGCUGUCUUCUAACCUCAGCGAUUUUAUACGAUAACAGACUUUUGGAUUUAGUAUCCUUGAUCUCACUUUCCGUGCAUGGUCCCAAAAUCCUGACAGGAUUCAGGUAUAGGAGCCGAGCCUAUCCUAUGCCUCACAGAGAAAUAAGAAAUGGUUUGUAAAUCUGUGCUGGGAAUGCUCUGGCCAAUGUAAAUUUCCUUAUCAAAUCUUUCUGCAUGAACAUUAUUCUUACAAAACCAAACUAAGUUGUUUAUUCCUCACUAUCCCUUAGUUCCAAGGAAGAGCAUUAAGCCUGCCAUUGAGGUAAGUGAAUAUAUUGGCUCUGAGCAGCCAAUGGUGAGAGAUAAAGGAAAAGAAAAGAGAGAAACAAGAGCAGGUAUGGGAGGAAAGGAAAGAACUAAGAGAAGGCUUAUGUUUGCCCUGCUGUGCUCAUGCUUUCCUGGGCCCUGGAUUCCUGCUGCAUGUUUUAUCUCCAUUCACUUCCUUCUGCAAAGAAUUACUCUCUUGGACUAAGAUUGUCUUCCAUUUCAAUUUGUUGUUUACUGGAUUUCUUUGGUCACACAAAACAGAUGUUGUAUUAGAAGCAGUGAAAUAUAUUUGUAGGCUUUUCAUAUAAAAUUAUUUUGUGUUGUAAACAAUCCUUUACCUAACUACACCAUAAAAUAAUUGAGACAUAAAACUUUGAGGGAAAAAAUUUAAAGAAAAAGAAUAGCAUUUAAUCAAAGCAUCUCUCCCUUCUUUACAUCAUCUUCUAAUUGAUGAUAAGCUGUAUCUCUUUGUAAAGCCCCUGCAUUACACCAGGUGGUUAAAAUUAUGGGAUGUUGCUCUAGUAGGUGGAUUGGAUGGUUGUGGUAAGUUGUCAUAAGAUGAAGUUAAAAAUCAGUGGCAGGGAGAGAGUGGUUCAGGUCUAGGAAUAUCCUGAACUUACUUCCUCCUAUGCACAUACCAAAUGUACAGCUCCAUAUGAAUUGGUUCCCUUUGGAAAAGACCUGAAAACUAGCUAAAGAGCUUUUCUACAACAAAGGAUAAAAGAACUACAUUGAGACGGGAAGUAGAGGCAGAGAGGGGAUUUCACCAAAAAUCCCACCUCCAGCAUGGCGACCCACAAUCUGGAGGGAUCUCACAAAUAUGGAGAUUCUCCCUGAAGACUGAGGAGUUUGUACCCCACAUCAGAUACCCCAGCCUUUGGGGUUUGGGGGACUUAUUUCUCUCACUGAUAAAAAGUUCAAAAGUAAUGGUCAUAAAUAUGCUUGUUGAACUUAGGAGAAGAAUGGAUGAAACGAUGAGAACUUCAACAAAGAGAUAGAAGAUAUAGAAAAUAUAAGAUAGUACCAAACAGGGGCACCUUGGUGGCUCAGUUGGUUAAGCAUCUGACUCUUGAUUUUGGCUCAGGUCAUGAUCUCACCAUCAUGAGAUUGAGGCCCAUGUUGGACUCUGCACUGGACCUGCUUAAAAUUCUCUCUCUCUCCCUCUCCCUUUGCCCCUCCCCCCACUCAUGCACGCAUGUGUGUGCUCUCUCUCUCUCUUAAAAAAAGGAUACUACCAAACAGAAGUCACUAAACUGAAGAAUACAAUAACUCCACUGAAAAACACUCUAGAAGGGUUCAAUAGCAGACGGGAUGGAGCAGAACAAUGGACCAGCAUCCUGAUCCAAACAGAAAAACAAAAAGAAAAGAAAUUUUAAAAAGCGAAUAUAGCUAACAGGACAUCAAGUGUUUUAGGGGUCUGAGAAAGAGAAGAGAGAAAGAAAGAGAAAAAGGCAGAAAACUUACUUGAAGAAAUAAUGGCUGCAAACUUCCAAGAAGUCAGGAUGGAAACAGACAUCUACAUCCAGGAAGCUUAGAAAGUCUCAAAUAAGAUAAACCAAAGAGAUCUACACCAAAAUACAUUAUAAUUAAAAUGUCAAAAGUUAAAGGGAAAGUAUUUAAAAGCAGCAAGAGAAAACAACUUGUUACAUAUAAGAGAACUUCCAUAAGACUUUCAGCUGAUUUUUCAGUCAGAUCUUUGCAAGUCAGAAAGGAGUGGCAGGACAUGAAAAGUGCUAAAAUGAAAAAACUUCCAACCAGGAAUACUCUAAGCAAGGCAAUCAUUCAUAAUUUAAGGAGAUAUAAACACUUUUCCAGAUUAGCAAAAGCUGAGAGUUUAUCACCAAUAAACCACCCUUACAAUAAAUGUUAAAAGGGACUUCUUUAAGCUGAAAAGAGAAGGCACUAACUAGCAAUAAGAAAACAUGAAAAUAAAAAUCUCACUGGAAGAGGCAAACAUAUAGGAAAGGUAGUGGAUUAGUCACUAUAAAACAGGUAUUGAGAUUAGAAAAACAAAAUUAGUGAAAUUAACCAUAACAAUAAUAAUAAGUUAAAGGAUAUAUAAAACAAAAUUAAAUGUAAAAUAUAACACCAAAACAUAAAACAUGGGUAGGGAAGUUGGGAUAAAAAUGUAGUCAUUAGAAAGUGCUCAAACUUUAGUUGCUAUCAACAUGAAAUAAACUACUAUGUAAACAGAUUAUUAUAUGUGUAUCUUAUGGUAAUCAUAAUAUUAAAACCUAUAGUAGAUGGAAUUAAGAAAGGAAUCUAAACAUAACACUAAGGAAAGUCAUCAAACCACAAGGGAGGAGAGCAAGAGAAGAAAGCACAGAGAGGAACUACAAAAACUAUAAAAACAGCCAGAAAAUAAUUAACAAAAUGCCAGUAAGUACACACCUAUUGAUUAUUACUUUAAAUGUAAAUGGACUAAAUUCUCCAACCAAAAGACAUAGAGUGGCUGAAUGGAUUAAAAGAAG